rnacentral:rRNA from 1 species
AGCGAACGUUAGCGGCGCGCCUAACACAUGCAAGUCGCACGAGAAAGGGCUUCGGCCCCGCGAAAGUGGCGCACGGGUGAGUAACACGUGGGUAACCUUCCCGCGAGCGGGGAAUAACAUUCCGAAAGGAGUGCUAAUACCGCAUGAGACCACGGCUUCGAAAGGAGCUGCGGUAAAAGCUGGCCUCUUCAUGAAAGCGAGCACUCGAGGAUGGGCCCGCGGCCCAUCAGCUUGUUGGUAGGGUAACGGCCUACCAAGGCUGAGACGGGUAACUGGUCUGAGAGGAUGAUCAGUCACACUGGAACUGAGACACGGUCCAGACUCCGACGGGAGGCAGCAGUGGGGAAUCUUGCGCAAUGGACGAAAGUCUGACGCAGCGAAGCCGCGUGGGUGAUGAAGGCCUUCGGGUUGUAAAGCCCUGUGGGGAGAGACGAAUAAGUCUUGGCUAAUAUCCAAGAUGAUGACGGUAUCUCCUUAGCAAGCACCGGCUAACUCUGUGCCAGCCGCCGCCGUAAAAC